rnacentral:rRNA from 1 species
AACGAACGCUGGCGGCAUGCCUAACACAUGCAAGUCGAACGAGACCUUCGGGUCUAGUGGCGCACGGGUGCGUAACGCGUGGGAACCUUCCCUUAGGUUCGGAAUAACUCCCCGAAAGGGGUGCUAAUACCGGAUAAUGUCUUCGGACCAAAGAUUUAUCGCCUUUGGAUGGGCCCGCGUUGGAUUAGCUAGUUGGUAGGGUAAAAGCCUACCAAGGCGACGAUCCAUAGCUGGUCUGAGAGGAUGAUCAGCCACACUGGGACUGAGACACGGCCCAGACUCCUACGGGAGGCAGCAGUGGGGAAUAUUGGACCAUGGGCGAAAGCCUGAUCCAGCACUGCCGCGUGAGUGAUGAAGGCCUUAGGGUUGUAAAGCUCUUUUACCCGGGAUGAUAAUGACAGUACCGGGAGAAUAAGCUCCGGCUAACUCCGUG